rnacentral:rRNA from 1 species
UACGGAGGGUGCAAGCGUUGUCCGGAAUUAUUGGGCGUAAAGAGCUCGUAGGCGGUCUGUCGCGUCUGCUGUGAAAACCCGGGGCUCAACCCCGGGCUUGCAGUGGAUACGGGCAGACUAGAGUUCGGUAGGGGAGACUGGAAUUCCUGGUGUAGCGGUGAAAUGCGCAGAUAUCAGGAGGAACACCGGUGGCGAAGGCGGGUCUCUGGGCCGGUACUGACGCUGAGGUGCGAAAGCGUGGGGAGCAAACAGG